rnacentral:lncRNA from 1 species
GAAGGACAGAGCCGUUGGUGCACUCACCAAACUUUAAUGACUGCCUACUGUGUGGGGCUGGCCUGGGAACAAGGUGUCCACACAGGGGGCUGGAGGGGUAUGGAUGGCAGCGGGUGGGGCUGUGUGUGCUAGAGGCCAUUUGUUAUUGAGCAACAGCCUUAGGUCAGGCUGGAUGAGUGGCUGAAACCCAGCAGGUUGGUCACAUUGACUCAGGUAACUCCUUCUCGCCGUGAAGGACUGCCCCAGAUAGGAAAUGCUUGGGUAUGAAACACACACAUGCACGCACAGAGGGAAGACACUAGUUUCAGAGGAAGAACAGCGAGGGGCAUUUAAUCUUAGAACUUAAGAG